rnacentral:rRNA from 1 species
UACGUAUGUCGCAAGCGUUAUCCGGAUUUAUUGGGCGUAAAGCGCGUCUAGGCGGCAAGGAAAGUCUAAUGUGAAAAUGCGGAGCUCAACUCCGUAUGGCGUUGGAAACUGCCUUACUAGAGUACUGGAGAGGUAGGCGGAACUACAAGUGUAGAGGUGAAAUUCGUAGAUAUUUGUAGGAAUGCCGAUGGGGAAGCCAGCCUACUGGACAGAUACUGACGCUAAAGCGCGAAAGCGUGGGUAGCAAACAGG